UUAAGUGCUUCUUCUAAUGCUUGUUUGCUGUGCUUAACUUCAGCCACUGCUUCCUCCAUCAUCCUCAGAAUAACCAAUUUAGAGAUACUUACUUCCUCAGCCUUCUGACUUUUGAAAGACAGAGGAGAGAAUUGCCCUUCAGGUUCCGGCAGCAGAAAUCCUGAGGGCUUCUCAUGACUGCUUGAUGAUAGACCCUUAAUUUCAGCAAGAGCAAGGGCUUCUGCUGCCUUUGCUGCUUCCUCCAUCUUUUUAGCAGCAACCCACCUCAUUUCAGCUGUCUUUAUACAAGCCUUAUUGCUCUGUUCAUUCACCAGCAUUGCUUUCGAAGCAUCGGCCAAUUUCUUCAACUGCUCU
rnacentral:lncRNA from 1 species